rnacentral:miRNA from 1 species
UUGUGGCUCUUCUGGCGAUUC